rnacentral:rRNA from 1 species
AAUGAACGCUGGCGGCAGGCCUAACACAUGCAAGUCGAACGGAUCCCUCGGGAUUAGUGGCGGACGGGUGAGUAACGCGUGGGAACAUACCCUUUGGUACGGAAUAGCCUCGGGAAACUGGGAGUAAUACCGUAUGUGGUCGAGAGACGAAAGAUUUAUCGCCAAAGGAUUGGCCCGCGUUGGAUUAGGUAGUUGGUGGGGUAAUGGCCUACCAAGCCGACGAUCCAUAGCUGGUUUGAGAGGAUGAUCAGCCACACUGGGACUGAGACACGGCCCAGACUCCUACGGGAGGCAGCAGUGGGGAAUCUUAGACAAUGGGGGAAACCCUGAUCUAGCCAUGCCGCGUGACCGAUGAAGGCCUUAGGGUUGUAAAGAUCUUUCAGGUGGGAAGAUAAUGACUGUACCACCAGAAGAAGCCCCGGCUAACUCCGUGCCAGCAGCCGCAGUAA